rnacentral:rRNA from 1 species
CCCUUAGACGUUCUGGGCCGCACGCGCGCUACAUUGACCGGUGCAACAAGCAUCCGUCCUUGGCCGACAGGCCCGGGCAAUCUUUGAACGCCGGUCGUGAUGGGGAUAGACUUUUGCAAUUUUUGGUCUUCAACGAGGAAUUCCUAGUAAACGCAAGUCAUCAACUUGCAUUGAUUACGUCCCUGCCCUUUGUACACACCGCCCGUCGCACCUACCGAUUGAAUGGUCCGGUGAAGCCUCCGGAUUGGCGCGCACCUCGGUGCCGCCGAGAAGUUGGCUAAACCUUACCAUUUAGAGGAAGGUGAANUCGUANCA